CUAGCUCAGUCCUUUCAGUGGCUGCUUCCACAAAGCUGUCAGCCUCAGGUUGCUGUAGUUCGAUCCCCACAACACUCUAGCAUGUCAAAAGUGCCCUCAAGGCAUUUGAGGA